rnacentral:rRNA from 1 species
CCUACGGGUGGCAGCAGUGGGGAAUAUUGCACAAUGGGGGAAACCCUGAUGCAGCGACGCCGCGUGAGUGAGGAAGUAUUUCGGUAUGUAAAGCUCUAUCAGCAGGGAAGAAAAUGACGGUACCUGACUAAGAAGCCCCGGCUAACUACGUGCCAGCAGCCGCGGUAAGACGGAGGGGGCACGCGUUAUCCGGAUUUACCGGGAGUAAAGGGAGCGUAGACGGUAAAUUAAGUAUGAAGUGAAACCCCAGGGCUCAACCUUGGGAAUGCAUUUGAAACUUAGUAGCUAGAGUGCAGGAGAGGUAAGCGGAAUUCCUAGUGUAGCGGUGAAAUGCGUAGAUAUUAGGAGGAACACCAGUGGCGAAGGCGGCUUACUGGACUGUAACUGACGUUGAGGCUCGAAAGCGUGGGGAGCAAACAGGAUUAGAUACCCGUGUAGUC